rnacentral:rRNA from 1 species
UACGUAGGGAGCAAGCGUUAUCCGGAUUUAUUGGGUGUAAAGGGUUCGUAGGCGGUUUCUUAAGUCUAUAGUCUAAGCCCGGAGCUUAACUCCGGUUCGCUAUGGAAACUGAGUUACUUGAGUGCAGUAGAGGCAAGUGGAAUUUCUAGUGUAGCGGUUAAAUGCGUAGAUAUUAGAAGGAACACCAGUGGCGAAGGCGACUUGCUGGGCUGUUACUGACGCUGAGGAACGAAAGCGUGGGGAGCAAAUA